rnacentral:SRP_RNA from 1 species
GCUGGGUGCAGUGGUGCAUGCCUGUAGUCCCAGCUACUCGGGAGGCUGAGGUGGGAGGAUUGCUUGAGCCCAGGAAUUCUGGGCUGUAGUGCGCUAUGCCAAUCAGAUGUCCUCACUAAGUUCAGCAUCAAUAUGGUGACCUCCUGCGAGCGGGGGACCACUGGGUUGCCUAAGGAGGGGUGAACCGGCCCAGGUUGGAAACGGAGCAGGUCAAAACUCCCAUGCUGAUCAGUAGUGGGAUCGCGCCUGUGAAUAGCCACUGCACUCCAGCCUGGGCAACAUAGCGAGCCCCCAUCUCU